rnacentral:rRNA from 1 species
AUUGAACGCUGGCGGCAGGCCUAACACAUGCAAGUCGAACGAGCGGCGGACGGGUGAGUAAUGCUUGGGAAUCUAGCUUAUGGAGGGGGAUAACUACGGGAAACUGUAGCUAAUACCGCGUACCAUAGGAUGAGCCCAAGUGGGAUUAGGUAGUUGGUGAGGUAAAGGCUCACAAAGCCGACGAGCCCUAGCUGGUCUAAGAGGAUGACCGGCCAAACGUGGACUGAGACACGGCCCAGACUCCUACGGGAGGCAGAAGUGGGGAAGAUUGCGCAAUGGGGGCAACCUGACGCAGCCAUGCCGCGUGAAUGAAGAAGGCCUUCGGGUUGUAAAGUUCUUUCGGUAGCGAGGCGUUAACUACAGAAGAAGCACCGGCUAACUCCGUGCCAGCCGCCGCGGUAAUUC